rnacentral:rRNA from 1 species
UACAGAGGUCCCAAGCGUUGUUCGGAUUCACUGGGCGUAAAGGGUGCGUAGGUGGUUGGGCAAGUCUGAUGUGAAAUCUCCGGGCUUAACCCGGAAAUGGCAUUGGAAACUGCUCGGCUAGAGUGUUGGAGGGGGGACUGGAAUUCUCGGUGUAGCAGUGAAAUGCGUAGAUAUCGAGAGGAACACCAGUGGCGAAGGCGAGUCCCUGGACAACUACUGACACUGAGGCACGAAAGCUAGGGGAGCAAACGGG